CGGACCGGGGCACGAACCCGUGUCCCCUGCAUCGGCAGGCGGACUCUCAACCACUGCGCCACCAGGGAAGCCUUAAUAUACUUGAUUCUUUAUCCAUGGUUCAGGAGGUAAAGUAACCAGUUUUAUUUGUCAAAUGAUUUUGGCUAAGGUAUUGUCAUCUUGGCCACAACCUAAGGAAGAAAGUUAUUGCAAUAAGAAAUGCUGGAGCAUAAAGGUCAGUGUUGCCUUUGUUUUUGUUUUUGUAAUUGGGAUUGGAUUGAAGCAUAAGUCAUUAACAGCUGUGUGAAGUGACCAAGAUGGAAAAGUAGCAGUGGCAAAAGGCUAUUUCAUGGAGGUGGCUCCCUAACACUGACCAUGGGAAGCAAUGAUAGUUCGUGCAGUGACCAAUAGAACAAGUGAACAUGUACUGGUAAUUUAUAGGCCAAUAGUCCCAUUCACUCUUCCAUUUGAAAAGGAUGAAUCCAAACUUCAGGUCAGUUGGCUGCAAGAUGUUUGUUGUUUUUAGUUUUUUCGACUUUUUAAAAAGUCUAUAUACAAAUUUCAAGUAAUAUAUCUGAACAAGAUUUACUCUUCUUAAGGUCAUUUGAAUUCCUCAAAGUUUACGUUCAAAUCAAAGGUGAGUUUCACUCAAGCUUUGCCUGUGGCACUAUUUUACCUUAUCCGUCAUCACUGUCAUCUCUCCCAACUUUCUCUAUGGUUUCCCUCCUCCUGGACUUCUAGUCGUUUCUCUCUAAACAUCACCGAGGCACUCAGAUCUUGAGUGAUAGCCCCUGAAUGUAUAGUGUCCUUAAUUUACAACUUACAAAGACCCGAACUUCUAAGAAAUCUUUCUUAAUUUCCUUCUCUAUCAAAAAAUCUUGUGUCUUUGGAUGCAAGCUACCUAACCGUAACUAAACCUGCUAAAUUGCUCUUCGGGGAUCAAAGCGUCAGCAUGUCUCCCUUCCAGGUAACAUUUGUAUGUUUUAAUAGAGGUCACCUGGAGCCAUACAUAUAAACUUAAAUAGAGAUGGGACUUCCCUCGCUCAAUAUCAUGGCACAUAUGCAUACCAUUGUGGUAUUGUGUUGGUCAACAAGAAACAACAGAGGUAAUAUACAUGGUUCUAUUAUCCAUCUCCAUUACUGGAAAACAGUAUGGAACACCUGUAUUUUUUGAUAUAUGGUUGUGCAGUUACGGGGAGGGGCUCAGCAAAUGUACUCAUACCCAAGAAAAGCAGACCAUUCAUUUUCCUUUCAUAACAUCAACCAGAAUCAAGUCUUUGCAAGCCAAUUUUGAAUUUGAGGCAGAUAAUAUUUCCUGUAUCCUGCUAUUAUUUUUCUCGCCAGAAUGUGCUCAGUGAAGAUAAGUCCUGUGAAUAAUUAUCUGACUGCAUAAAACCAUUAGGCCAGGUUCCAGUGAGGUACCACAGCUGUGCUAGGGACCAGAUAAUAGAGGAAAAACAGCACUCAGAGCUUUUCAUAUCAUCUGUCUCCACCAUGAAUAGUGUAGUGAAGACAGGACCCAAAGUGGAGUGUUCCCAACUUCCCUGAGGGUAGACUAUGAGACACAUGGGGUAUGGGAGCCAGCAAGUGAAGAGAGCCAACAGACUGUUCUAGGCUAUGUAUCUCCUCAAACCUGGAGCCUGGGAUAGUUCUGUCUUUCAGUCUCUCCUCAUGCAGAAGGGAUGCAACCAAGAUGUUACAGUUAACUUUAGCCUCUAAGGUAAAGCCCAAAUGCAGGAUAAGUUCAAUGAUUCAGAAGCAUAUACGCUGAAGUUCUUUCUCUGGAAGUGAUUGUGGAGGGUGAGACCAAACCAAGUCCUUGGAAUAUGUGUAAUUCCUUCCUAGAAAAAGCUGGGAGUUGGCUAACUGCCUGUAUUGCCUCCUCUGAUCAAACUGUGUUGUUUGUUUAUUCAAUUAAUGCCUUUCCUUCUCAUUAGGCUUGCGGCCACAACCAGAUGGAGAUGUCUUAGUCUGCCAAAAAGAUGAGUCUGGCCUCUGUUUGCCUAUAUCCUUGAGGCUAGCUUUUUGCUUUCUCUGUUUAAUUUUUUAAAAGCUGUCUUAAAGACAUGACUGCUGGCUACAUUAGAACCAGAGGAAAAUAUCAGCAAAUCCCACUGAGAAGAUUGUGCAGGAGAAAUGAGAAAAGAAAAAAAACAAAACAAAACAAGCAAGGAGUGAUGAUCAAAGAAAUGAAAAAAACAAAACCCAACAACAAAAGAAUGUCCUCUGAGAAAGCUUGGAGUUGAGUUUUAUUUGUUUGUUUAUUACUGGCUGAGAUAUAAAGGAAGUUAAAAAAAUAGAGCUGCCUUCUUUCAUUAAUAUAUUAGCCAAAUAUAGCAAGUCUGACUGUCCUUUGCUAACCACCAGGCUGCACCAAUGCACACACUACUCCAAACUUCUAACAAGA